rnacentral:RNase_P_RNA from 1 species
GCAGAGGGCCGGAUGGUCGCGCUGACCCCUCGGGGUUGGUGAGGAAAGUCCGGGCUCCACGGAAACAGGGUGCCGGGUAACCCCCGGCGGGCGCGAGCCCAGGGACAGUGCCACAGAAAGCAAACCGCCCCGGCGCUUCGGUGCCGGUGGUAAGGGUGAAAGGGUGCGGUAAGAGCGCACCGCGCGACCAGCAAUGGAAGCGGCAAGGUAAACCCCACCCGGAGCAAGCCCAAGUAACGCAGAGUGUUCCGGCCUCGCCGGAACAGCGCCGGUUUUCGGGCGGCUGCGGUGGUAGGGCGCGAGAAUCAGGGGGCGACCCCUGGUCCAGAUGAAUGGCCAUCGGGGGAACGGGCCUGGCCCGUUUUCGCCACAGAACCCGGCUUACAGGCCCUCUGCACGC